rnacentral:rRNA from 1 species
UGGGGAAUAUUGGACAAUGUGCGCAAGCCUGAUCCAGCCAUGCCGCGUGAGUGAUGAAGGCCCUAGGGUUGUAAAGCUCUUUCACCGGUGAAGAUAAUGACGGUAACCGGAGAAGAAGCCCCGGCUAACUUCGUGCCAGCAGCCGCGGUAAUACGAAGGGGGCUAGCGUUGUUCGGAUUUACUGGGCGUAAAGCGCACGUAGGCGGACUUUUAAGUCAGGGGUGAAAUCCCGGGGCUCAACCCCGGAACUGCCUUUGAUACUGGAAGUCUUGAGUAUGGUAGAGGUGAGUGGAAUUCCGGGUGUAGGGGUGAAAUUCGUAGAUAUUCGGAGGAACACCAGGGGCGAAGGCGGCUCACUGGACCAUUACUGACGCUGAGGUGCGAAAGCGUGGGGAGCAAACAGG